rnacentral:rRNA from 1 species
CUUGCUUUAUGAUAAGUUUAGUGGCGAACGGGUGAGUAACACGUAGGGAACCUGCCCAUAUACCCGGGAUAACAAAGGGAAACGUUUGCUAAAACCGGAUAGGUAAUGAGGAGGCAUCUUCUUAUUAUGAAAGCACCUUUUGGUGUGGAUAUGGAUGGACCUGCGGCGUAUUAGCCAGUUGGCGGGGUAACGGCCCACCAAAGCGAUGAUACGUAGCCGGCCCGAGAGGGUAAACGGCCACAUUGGGACUGAGACACGGCCCAAACUCCUACGGAAGGCAGCAG